UACGGAGGGUGCAAGCGUUAUCCGGAUUCACUGGGUUUAAAGGGUGCGUAGGUGGGCUAGUAAGUCCGUGGUGAAAUCUCCAAGCUUAACUUGGAAACUGCCGUGGAUACUAUUAGUCUUGAAUAUUGUGGAGGUAAGCGGAAUAUGUCAUGUAGCGGUGAAAUGCUUAGAUAUGACAUAGAACACCGAUAGCGAAGGCAGCUUACUACAUGUUAAUUGACGCUGAGGCACGAAAGCGUGGGGAGCAAACAGG
rnacentral:rRNA from 1 species